rnacentral:misc_RNA from 1 species
GUUGGCUGUGUCAAGCCGUGACAGGCCAACAUUCGAAGAGUUUCAGGGCUAAAAUUGCGAUCGAAUUUCACGGAGACAGCGGAACCAACGCGGCGGAAACCGCGCCUUGCCGUGGAUCGCACGGCUUAGAAUGGAACUUCCGGACAAAGCGAUGAAUUACGACGAAGGCCCGCCCUCCACGACGGAAUUCUCUUUCAGGACCACGGUUGCAUCGUUCUGGAGGAUACAUUCGCAGAAAUAUCGCCAAGCUUCACGAGGGAACCGAUAAAUUACUCUUAUCGGACACACGAGUUUUUCGCGGUCAUCUAAUCGACGCAAACGAAAGAAAAACUCGAUUACCCGAGCUUAACUUCAGCCGCGAAACGUUGGACGAGCAAAAAAGUACCGACCCAGCCUUCUUCCCUCUCUGCAUUCGUUCCCGCGAGUAAGAUCGCAGAUAGAAAUUACAUCCACGACUU